CAAAGCUUGUAUGUACAUAUAGCAAAUUAAAUGCAUUAAUUGAAUAGAGUGUGUUUAGUGAAUUUACCAGAAUCGUCCAGAAAACAUGGGAAACAGCAAGUGUUCUUGCAGACUGCGUCGGAGGCACCCGCACGAAUACAAAGCUGACAACAUAGUUUUGCCUGGGCGGAUGCGCAGCAGCCGCACUCCGCCGCGGUGGGGUUAACAUUGAGGCUCAAGAUGACCAGGCACAUGAUCACCAUCAAAGUGGUAGUCCUCUUUCCCUCCAUUGCCUCCUCUUAGCUUGCUGCUACCUUCCUUGGUUACCUAGCUAAGUUUAUUGGUUUUGUGUUGAGAGGUGUGAUUUUUGAAUGGACGUUGCCGGCGGCAAUUUAUAGGCAGCUGAGCUAUGUGAUGAUAUGGACUAGGUGCAAAUGGGUGGUUAAUGGCAAGGAAAGGGGCGUCAGACAAAGCCCAAUGGCAACUGCUGACAUGCGAUUAAAUUCAGAUCCACAUCCGGCCAUUCAAUAAUACGGUUGGAGUUGUGGCACAGAUAUAUUAUUGCAUGAUCAUCAAGAUAAGAUCGUACAGUGACUGAGUGAGACAAUAAAUAGCCAAGUAAACUAUUUUAUCCUGCUGCAAGCUGCAUUCAUAAGUUUAUUUCACCUUUGAUCACAAUACUCUUCACACACGUACGUCUCAGGGAGAUCUCACUUCCGCUGGACUGCUCACUUCCGCUGUCGUCGGUACUGCCAAAGACAUAAGCUCACAUCUGCUAUUGCGGAGCAGGCCAAUUUGCUGCGGAACUUCGGCGACGACCUGAAGGACAUGAACUCGGUGCUGGAGUCCAUCUCAGCAGCGCUCUAGGACGCUGACACCGGUAGAAAAACGACCUUCCAUCGUCAACAAAAAUCCCGGUAGCUUUUUUACUCGGUACUAAAGAGGUUUUAAUCUCGUGCAAACACCUUUAGUCCAGAUUGCUAUUACCACGCAACCCGGACUAAAGCGUCCCCCGCGAGUUAGUAUAUAAGGAUUGCAUCCUUUACUCAGUCAGAUAUAAUAUGUAGGUGAGAUGGUAAGGAAGCUAUGCGUGAGGCUUCAGGUUGUGGGUUCGAAUCCAAGUGGGUGCAGCUGUGGCUUAAGCGGCUGAGGCACGCCGCCAUAGACAUCUCAGAUUUGCUCGAAGACUACCAAGACACUAGUGAACCCUUAACAGUAAAGGUGAGUACUUAUGAAUGUCAGCAUCCAUGUUGUCCAUGCUUCCAAUGUAAUAACAAGAUGGACUACUCUUCCUAGCGGACUCUUCACAACCACUCGUAAAGCUAUGCGUUUCUCAAUGCAAUUUCGUAGAAGCCAAUCGAUCCAACCAAGUGACUAAAUCAUUCGUCCUUUCCAAUGAUGUGCAUCAGGUUUUCUAUAUGAAGGGCAUGUCUAGCAAACCUAAGAUUUCAGAAGAAAAAGAAAAAUCAUUGGAGCCAAAGAGCCACAUAGUUCUUCUAGGAAAAAAAUCAUGGGAGUCGAGAACAUAUCAAACCAAUCAGGGGAUUAUGGUCAGCUUAAUGGCAUGCCUCCAUUCGAUGUCGAAGUUCACCCAAGCAUCAUGUUAGCCAAACAUCAAAUGUUCGUGCGUUGUUACGGUAAAGAUCAAUUGUGUUUUUUAAACUCUUGGAAUUUUUUUAUCUAAGUUUUUAUUUACACUUAUUGGAUGUCUACACAUUUGCUAGAAAACUAAAAUAAUUUGGACUUAAUUAUUUCUUUCAACUGAAGUACUCACUAAAUUUCUACCUUUUUAUUUAAGCAAGAGAGUUGCUAAAAAAAAUGGAUACGUAACCAUGUUGUAUCAUACAAAGUAACCACGUUUCACAUAUAGUCCGGCUUAGCAAACACCAUUGUUUUCUGAACAUAGCGUACAUGAGUUAACAGACAUGGAUUUAUUUCUAUUGCAAGUAGCAUAGCGUACAACCUGCCUGCACCGAUGCAGCUCAAUAUGCGAUAAUUUUUAUCUUCCCAUGUAAUUUUUCUACUCUAGUACAUAUUGAACUCCACAUUAAUGUCAUGUUCUUUCGCGCCCCAGAAGGUUCCUAAAGUUUGGAAACUUAAUAGAUAGCCAGAAUUUUUUUUAAAGAUAUUUAUAUGGAUACUUGUAUGUUCUUUCCAAACUAACAAUAUUGUUUACCAAUAUCAGAAGGAAUAUGGUUAGGAGCCAUUGCCGCAUAUGGCAGGUGAUGGUAGAUGGCGUAUGGGGUUUCGUUAAUUUAAUGGUAUAAUAAGCUGAAAUACAUUUUCUAUUUGCAAAUGAAUCAUAGCUGAAAUUGGUGGGAUUGUUUUUUCGCCGGUUUAGCAUCCUGUGCACCAGUUCAACCGGAGGGAAGCUGUUUUUUUUCUUUGGUUUUCCACCGGUUCACCGAGACCGAUGACAAUUUUAUGGCAGAAUCAUUACUUGUUUUACUAUUAGGUGAAGAUUUUAGCGUUUAGGUAUCUCACAUUAAACGCAACUUCAACAAUCUAUUUCUAGUGUAUAAUGUAGGAGACCCCGUAAAGAGUCUACACACACAUAUAUGUUGACUAUGAAUGUAAGUUUGUUGGUUUUAUGUAUGUUCGUUUGGAGUUUAUAUAAAUUUUACAUUUUAUAGUUUUGUGUAUAUGACGAAGAUCCAUGACUUGCAUUAAUUUAGCCUUUCUUCCAACAACUCUUAUGCAUGCUGUUUCUAGGCGAGCGUACUGGUUGCAAUUUUGGUCCCCGAUAUAGUGUGAGGACUUAAGGGACACGUGCAGGUCGUAACCUUAGAUAUUUUUGCUGAGAAUGGAUGAAGAAGCAAUAAUAUACUUUGCUUCUGAUUUUCUCCAUGUCAUUUGCUUACUCUUAUCCCUUUUAUUUAUCAUUAUAAGAUGAAAAUAUUGUAAAAACUUGGCUACGUGCGGUCGCAGAAGCUAGAGACUAAAGCGUCCCCCACGAGUUACUAUAUAAAAGGAUUGCAUCCUCUACUCAGUCAUAUGUACUGUGUAGGUGAGAUGGUAAGGAAGCUAUGUGUGAGGCUUGAGGUUGUAGGUUCGAAUCCCACGCACCGCGUGCGCAUGCGCAUAUUUUGCGUGAAAAAUCGCAUGACUUGUGGUCGGCCAAGGAGAAGUGCGUGCGGCUGAGGCACGCCGCCAUAGACAUCUCGGAUUUGCUCCAAGACUACCAAGACACUAGCGAACCCUUAACGGCAAAGUUGAGUACUUACGCGUGUUAGCAUCUAUGUUGUCCAUGCUUCCAAUGCAAUAACAAGAAGGGCUACUCAUCCUAGCGGAUUCUUCACAACCACUCGUAAAGCUAUGCGUUUCUCAAUGCAAUUUCGUAGAUGUCAAUCGAUCCAACCAAGCGACUGAAUCAUUCGUCCUUGCUAAUGAUGUGCAUCAGGUUUUCUAUAUGAAGAACAUGUCUAGCAAAUCCAAGAUUUCAGAAGAAAAAUAAAAAUCAUGAGAACCAAAGCACCACGUAGUUCUUCCAGGUAAAAAAAACAAUCAUCCACUGGGAUGACACACAGUAGCGAUCCAAAACGUCCAUAUUAAGACUUUUUGAUAGCAGAAAAAACAUGAAAAUGUCUAAUAUUUGUAGUAUUAAAAGGAAAAAUAAUAUAUUCACUUGACCUUUUUUUCGUAGCAACGCACCGGUGCGUAGUCAGACUUAGGCCACGUUUGGAUACUCCCUACUAAAGUUUAGCACCUGUCACAUAGGAUGUUUGGAUACUAAUUAGGAGUAUUAAACAUAGGCUAAUUAUAAAACUAAUUGAAUAGAUGGAGUCUAAUUUGCGAGACGAAUCUAUUAAGCCUAACUAGUCCAUGAUUUGACAAUGUGGUGCUACAGUAACCAUUUGCUAAUGGUGGAUUAAUUAGGCUUAAUAGAUUCGUCUCGCGAAUUAACAUAGGGUUCUGCAAUUAAUUUUAUAAUUAGCUCAUGUCUAGUCCUUCUAAUUAGCAUCCGAACAUCUGAUAUGAUACUGCUAAAGUUUAUCACCUAGUAUCCAAAUACCCCCUUAAUGCACGAUGCCUGUGCAUCCACUGGGCCUACCCUCGUGGAUCACGCGCUCGUGGAUCACGCGCACCAUGACAUGGCUCAUUAGCUAGUCGUGCUAAUCCUUACCACCAAAUUAAAAACUAGCAUGUGUUGUGUGUUUGUGACCCUAAACGACUACCACCUUCCCGAGUCCACCGGAGUUGCCAGUUCACCACUAAGCUGACUCUCCGAGCUUCAUGUCACUGUCACCGCUCCAAAGACCUAGAUCGGUUCGCUGUGCACCCCGCUUCGUCCUGAGCUAAAUCCCAUCACGAAAGGUGACCGGAUGCUCGUUUUCGAGCGAAUUCUAGCGAGAUUGCCACCACCUUUCCCCUUCCAGCCGAUCGCAGCUGUCUGAUCACAAACCGACAGCCCAGAUCGGAUUUGACCAGGUCAAUACCGGUCAAGCCGAGAUGCAUGCUGCUUUUGCAAGAAGGCCCCUAUUUUUCUCUCGUUUUGCACUUGAGGUCCUACGCAGUUCAAAAGUAAUUAGAUCUAGAUCCUUUUUCUUCUGUUUUAGCCCUGUUCUUUUAUAAAAUCCCACCCGCCAUCCUGUUUGGUAUUUUGACAUGUUAGACCUUCUAUUUAUAUGUUUAAUUAGGUUUUAGCCCUUGGUUUCUUUAAGUUUAGCUCUUGGAAGUUUAGUUUUCUCGCAGUUAAGCCCCUGAACCUUGUUUAGUUCAUAUCUUUAGCGUUUUAAAUCCGUUUUAAGAGAUUCUUACGCCCAUAAGUUCGUGUUGAUGCAUAGAUUAGUUGACUUAUACGGACCUUGCUGAUUCAGCUCCUUCAUUGUGCUUCAGAUCUCGCUAGUGAAGAAUAAUGGAUGGGCUUUGGUUGAGCUUGUAGAUCGACCUGCAGUUGCAGUGAAUGUGCUGAGGACUGGCGGUACCAAUAAUGGGAGGCCGCUGCUCUGCUUGCUACCAAGGCCUGCGACGCUUGGACGCCAUUCAGAGUGCAUAAUUUCCAAGGAUCUCAAGGGCUCCACACCACGUUCCAAGUGUUUUUUCUUUGCCGAGUGUUUUUAGCUCGGCACUUGGCAAAGAGCUUGUUUGCCGAGUGUCCGAAAAAAACACUUGGCAAAGAGAAAACACUCGGCAAAUUUGAUGUUUCCCGUAGUGAUGUACUAUUCAAACUUGAACUGGGAUGCAGGCUUCAGUACCAAAGAGAGCUCUGGGCGCGGGUGAGCAGUGAGCUGGCCGGGCAGGGAGCUCCAAAGCGACAGCAACAAAGAGAGAAAUGCUAAGAGUAAGAACGACACACGAGGUCACUUCACAUAGAUAAUAGCAGUACGAACCAUACAAUAUCCUCUCUCAGUUUCACUCCGCCUCACACACGGCUAGCACACCAUGCAUGCCGAUUUCAUAUUAUUAAUAUUAUUUUUUGGAUGGUUGUUGAAACUAUAUAUAUAGUUAGUCCAAUCUCACGUUUCCGAUUAUAAAAAUCAACGUAAAGAGAUCGGUAGGGAGAGCCGGCAUAAUGAAGCCGACGCGUGUAAUAAGCACCAGAGCCGGCAUUUAUACAAACUGGUACGAAUAGUAAAAAACUAGAAUUUAUAAAUAAAAAAAUGAUUUGCACAUCUAUGCAAUAAUUAGGGGUUAGUGGCAGGUCUAGAGAGAUAUCUCAUCAUUAUAUCCGGUUUAACGAGGAUAAAAAAGAGUGUAUUUUCCACUCAUCAUGUUGUCUUUUCGCAGCGGUACCACUUUUCGUGUGUUGUAUCGGUCCCCUAAUACGGAGUCUCCGAGGCCCGAGAAAAUAAGGAAAGUGAUAGUAGCCCAGAAAUCGGCCAAGUUUCUUUCCCCUUUGGCUUUCCUACUAGGAUUCAGAAUCCUCUUUCGCAUGACAAUCUUAAUUAUCUCCCAUACUCCAAAACUCACAAAAACAUCAAGAGUCCGCUGAGAAUAAAUUUAAGUAAAAAACAUGCACACACAGAUAAUAAUAAUAAUCAUGUUUCCAUAAAAUUGCUAAGUCCAGAGAUAAUACAUAAACAUAGUAGACUGUUCAUGACACAUAUCACGGUGGACAGUGUUUGUGUCCUUAUUACAAGCAACGAGAGAUGCUCGUCACCAACACGCGCGCGCACAGAUGCACGACAUACAUAUAGUAGAGACCAACAGAUGGUCGUCCCAUAUGGUGAACAAUUUAUUGGAGAUAAAUAUUAACGUAACUUGGCCAUAGCUUGAAGCAUAGCAACAUAUGCCUAUGAGUGGCAUUCAUGCUAUCGUUUUAGGCUUGUCCAGCUCCUUCCAUCUUAGCAAGCACUUCCAUUUCUACCAUCUUAGCAGCAACUGUCAAAUUGAGAUACGGAAAUCCCAUUAGCGCAUGAGUUAAUUUUGCAGUGGAAAUAGAGUACAAGAUGUCUUCAUGAUGUAAGUAAUAUGCCUGAAGUUGUGAGAUGGGAAGUGAAGUCAACAAAUUACAUUAACGGAAAUGCAUGGAAGGCCACACAUACGUAUUAGUCCAUGAUAUGCUACAAAGCUUGUAUGUACAUAUAGCAAAUUAAAUGCAUUAAUUGAAUAGAGUGUGUUUAGUGAAUUUACCAGAAUCGUCCAGAAAACAUGGGAAACAGCAAGUGUUCUUGCAGACUGCGUCGGAGGCACCCGCACGAAUACAAAGCUGACAACAUAGUUUUGCCUGGGCGGAUGCGCAGCAGCCGCACUCCGCCGCGGUGGGGUUAACAUUGAGGCUCAAGAUGACCAGGCACAUGAUCACCAUCAAAGUGGUAGUCCUCUUUCCCUCCAUUGCCUCCUCUUAGCUUGCUGCUACCUUCCUUGGUUACCUAGCUAAGUUUAUUGGUUUUGUGUUGAGAGGUGUGAUUCUUGAAUGGACGUUGCCGGCGGCAAUUUAUAGGCAGCUGAGCUAUGUGAUGAUAUGGACUAGGUGCAAAUGGGUGGUUAAUGGCAAGGAAAGGGGCGUCAGACAAAGCCCAAUGGCAACUGCUGACAUGCGAUU
rnacentral:lncRNA from 1 species